rnacentral:rRNA from 1 species
CAACUCUUAGCGGUGGAUCACUCGGCUCGUGCGUCGAUGCAGAACGCAGCUAGCUGCGAGAACUAAUGUGAAUUGCAGGACACAUUGAUCAU